rnacentral:rRNA from 1 species
AUGGAGGAGAGGCUGAAACUGAGCCCCGACAGCACGACGGAGGAAGUGGAUGCUACGCAGUACCGACGCCUUGUGGGGAGCCUUCGCUACCUCACUCACACACGGCCGGACUUGGCAUUCUCCGUCGUCUAUGUCAGUCGGUUCAUGGAGCGACCAACGUCGGAACACCAGCAGGCAGUGAAGAGGAUCGUCCGCUACAUAGCAGGGACCCUCGACCACGGCCUCCACUACCCUAGGUGUCUUGGGGCGGCACACUUCGUCGGGUACAGCGACAGCGACCACGCCGGCGACAUCGACACCAGCAAGAGCACGAGCGGGAUCCUCCUCUUCCUCGGCAAGUGUCUCGUGAGCUGGCAAUCAGUCAAGCAACAGGUGGUGGCCCUGUCCAGCUGUGAGGCUGAGUACAUAGCGGCCUCCACCGCCUGCACUCAGGCGCUUUGGCUUGCUCGACUGCUUGGUGAUCUUCUCGUUCAAGACACCAGAACGGUGCAACUCUUGGUAGACAGCAAGUCCGCCCUGGCCCUGGCAAAGAACCCCGUGUUCCACGAACGGAGCAAGCACAUCCGACUGAGGUAUCACUUGAUCCGUAGCUGUGUGGAAGAAGGGAGCAUCGAGGCGAGCUACAUCAACACCAAGGAUCAGCUCGCAGACCUGCUCACCAAGCCCCUUGGGAGGGUCAAGUUCCUCGAACUUUGCUCCAGGAUUGGGAUGAUUCAACUCUCCCACAAGACGACGUACAAGACUUAG